GGACCCGCACAAGCGGUGGAGCAUGUGGUUUAAUUCGAUGCAACGCGAAAAACCUUACCUACUCUUGACAUACUUGGAAGCUCUUGUAAUGAGAGUGUGCCUUUUGGAGCCAAGAUACAGGUGCUGCAUGGCUGUCGUCAGCUCGUGUCGUGAGAUGUUCCGUUAAGUCGGAUAACGAGCGCAACCCUUACCCUUAUUUGCCAGCGAUUCGGUCGGGAACUAUAAGGGGACUGCCGGUGAUAAACCGGAGGAAGGUGAGGACGACGUCAAGUCAUCAUGGCCCUUACGAGUAGGGCUACACACGUGCUACAAUGCUACGGACAAAGGGCGCAAGUUCGCGAGGACAAGCA
rnacentral:rRNA from 1 species